rnacentral:rRNA from 1 species
GCAGCCGCGGUAAUACGGAGGAUCCGAGCGUUAUCCGGAUUUAUUGGGUUUAAAGGGUGCGUAGGCGGCCUAUUAAGUCAGUUCUGAAAUAUUCCGGCUUAACCGGAAGGGUGGGAUUGAUACUGAUGGGCUUGAGUGGACUCGAGGUAGGCGGAAUUGACGGUGUAGCGGUGAAAUGCUUAGAUAUCGUCAAGAACACCGAUAGUGUAGACAGCUUACUAGAUUCUAACUGACGCUGAGGCACGAAAGUGUGGGGAUCAAA